GGCAGACGGGUGAGUAACGCGUGGGAACGUGCCCUUCAGUUCGGGAUAACCCAGGGAAACUUGGGCUAAUACCGGAUACGUGCGAGAGCAGAAAGAUUGAUCGCUGAAGGAUCGGCCCGCGUCUGAUUAGCUAGUUGGUGAGGUAAUGGCUCACCAAGGCGACGAUCAGUAGCUGGUCUGAGAGGAUGAUCAGCCACAUUGGGACUGAGACACGGCCCAAACUCCUACGGGAGGCAGCAGUGGGGAAUAUUGGACAAUGGGCGCAAGCCUGAUCCAGCCAUGCCGCGUGAGUGAUGAAGGCCUUAGGGUUGUAAAGCUCUUUCGUCCGGGACGAUAAUGACGGUACCGGAAGGAGAAGCCCCGGCUAACUUCGUGCCAGCAGCCGCGGUAAUACGAAGGGGGCUAGCGUUGUUCGGAAUCACUGGGCGUAAAGGGCGCGUAGGCGGCUUUAUAAGUCGGGGGUGAAAGCCUGUGGCUCAACCACAGAAUUGCCUUCGAUACUGUAGAGCUUGAGACCGGAAGAGGUAAGUGGAACUGCGAGUGUAGAGGUGAAAUUCGUAGACAUUCGCAAGAACACCAGUGGCGAAGGCGGCUUACUGGUCCGGUUCUGACGCUGAGGCGCGAAAGCGUGGGGAGCAAACAGGAUUAGAUACCCUGGUAGUCC
rnacentral:rRNA from 1 species